AACCAUGAGGCCUUUGCACUGGCCGCGCCCUCUGCCCGCCACGCUGGCCUCCAGGUCCCUUCAAGGCCACCUCCUCCUGGUUGCAGCUGCAGGGGCCUCUCCUGGCCCACAUCUCCCCUUCCUGUCCGGGUUUCACAGGCGGUCCUCCCCUCUUCCCUCACCCCAGCCCCCAACGCCGGCUCAGGCCUGUGCUGGACCUGUCUGCCUUGGUCCCUGCUCUUGCCAGUGAGUCUGGCUAGGUAUGAUCACGUGACCAAGUUCUGGCCAAUGAGAAAUAGGAGUAUCCAGGAAUGGGAAGAGACCUGCCCUUCUUUGGCCCUUUGUCCAACCAGCAGCCUGGAAAGCAGAUGUGAUGGCUGAGCUCUGGCAGCCACGUUGGAGUCUGAGGUGAAGGAACACAUGCUCAGGGUGUAGAGCAAUGAGCGGGCUGGACCCUGCGUCCCUGGUGACAUGUAUGGCCUUCACUGCAGCCCUAGCUUGCCCACAUCUAGAGUUCUUUUAUGGGAAAGAAAAAACACACAUUUACCUUGUUUAAGCACUGCAGUUUUGAGCUUUGCUGUUAUAGGCAGUCAACCCUAUUCAAAGCUGGUAUAGUGGGGAAGAAGUCUUAAAGAAGAGAGACCAACACGAAAACCAGAGGAGUGAUCAGGCCGAAAGACUGCAUGUGCUUUGGGUGGCUCACAUGGGACCAGUGGAUGACCGGCUGGGUCAGGACCUGACUCUGGAUGCAAGGUCUCCUGUACUAAGGAUUGCAGAUGUGCCCAUGCUUAUCUAUGCCUGGCUGACUCAGCCGUGUCCUGGGGAUGUCCGAGCCACAGGAUGGACAGAACCUGCAUCCUCCACGCUCACAAGUCCAUGCCUUGUAGCUUGCACCUCUGGUUCUCAUUAGGGAGUCUUCCAUUUUUCUCAGUGUCUUUUUGUCAUCCUUGGAGAUGAGCUUGUGGCCCUUCUUCCUUGAGCUACUGAUGGAACAGGCCAUGAGGAGCUCUCUUUUCUGUGGUUGUCAACCUGCAUGGCAGAACCCUGGAGCGGUGAGGGGCCACUGGCUGCCUGGGAUGUGGCUGACUUCUGGGUUAGCAGAAUUGACAGAGAGAUAAAGAAUCACUGCUUGGCUUCUGUCAUUUGCAAUGGAAAAUAUCCUGGGAAUACAGGAGUCAGCAAGCUGUGUCUGGGGGCCAAAUCCCCAAGCUAAGAAUGGAUUUUACAUUUUUGAAGAGUUGUUAAAAAUUAAUAAAUCAAAGAAGACUGUUAAGAGACUGCAUGUGGCCUAAAA